UACAGAGGUGGCAAGCGUUGUUCGGAAUUACUGGGCGUAAAGGGCGCGUAGGCGGCCUUCUAAGUCAGACGUGAAAUCCCCAGGCUUAACUUGGGAACUGCGUCUGGUACUGGGAGGCUUGAGUGCGGGAGAGGGAUGUGGAAUUCCAGGUGUAGCGGUGAAAUGCGUAGAUAUCUGGAGGAACACCGGUGGCGAAGGCGGCAUCCUGGACCGACACUGACGCUGAGGCGCGAAAGCUAGGGGAGCAAACGGG
rnacentral:rRNA from 1 species